GCACUGCUGAGGAGUCCUUAAUAGGACGAAACGGCCGUCCAGUAC
rnacentral:hammerhead_ribozyme from 1 species